UGGGGAAUAUUGCACAAUGGGCGAAAGCCUGAUGCAGCGACGCCGCGUGAGGGAUGACGGCCUUCGGGUUGUAAACCUCUUUCAGCAGGGAAGAAGCGAAAGUGACGGUACCUGCAGAAGAAGCGCCGGCUAACUACGUGCCAGCAGCCGCGGUAAUACGUAGGGCGCAAGCGUUGUCCGGAAUUAUUGGGCGUAAAGAGCUCGUAGGCGGUUAGUCGCGUCUGCUGUGAAAACUCGAGGCUCAACCUCGGGCUUGCAGUGGGUACGGGCUGACUAGAGUGCGGUAGGGGUGACUGGAAUUCCUGGUGUAGCGGUGGAAUGCGCAGAUAUCAGGAGGAACACCGAUGGCGAAGGCAGGUCACUGGGCCGCAACUGACGCUGAGGAGCGAAAGCAUGGGGAGCGAACAGGAUUAGAUACCCUGGUAGUCCAUGCCGUAAACGUUGGGCACUAGGUGUGGGGUCCAUUCCACGGAUUCCGUGCCGCAGCAAACGCAUUAAGUGCCCCGCCUGGGGAGUACGGCCGCAAGGCUAAAACCUAAAGGAAUUGACGGGGUCAUAGCUGUUUCCU
rnacentral:rRNA from 1 species